rnacentral:rRNA from 1 species
UACGAGGGGGGCAAGCGUUGUUCGGAAUUAUUGGGCGUAAAGGGCGCGUAGGCGGUGUCGCAAGUCCGUGGUGAAAUCUCGUAGGCUCAACUUAGAGACUGCCGCGGAAACUGCGGUGCUUGAGUGUGGGAGAGGUGCGUGGAAUUCCCGGUGUAGCGGUGAAAUGCGCAGAUAUCAGGAGGAACACCGGUGGCGAAGGCGGGUCUCUGGGCCGUAACUGACGCUGAGGAGCGAAAGCGUGGGGAGCGAACAGG